ACUCCUACGGGAGGCAGCAGUGGGGAAUAUUGCACAAUGGGCGCAAGCCUGAUGCAGCAACGCCGCGUGAGUGAUGAAGGCCUUCGGGUCGUAAAGCUCUGUCUCAAGGAAGAAUAAAUGACGGUACUUGAGGAGGAAGCCCCGGCUAACUACGUGCCAGCAGCCGCGGUAAUACGUAGGGGCAAGCGUUAUCCGGAAUCACUGGGCGUAAAGGGUGCGUAGGCGGUUUUUCAAGUCAGAAGUGAAAGGCUAUGGCUCAACCAUAGUAAGCUUUUGAAACUGUUAAACUUGAGUGCAGGAGAGGAAAGUGGAAUUCCUAGUGUAGAGGUGAAAUUCGUAGAUAUUAGGAGGAACACCAGUGGCGAAGGCGACUUUCUGGACUGUAACUGACGCUGAGGCACGAAAGCGUGGGAGCGAACAGGAUUAGAU
rnacentral:rRNA from 1 species